GACGAACGCUGGCGGCGUGCUUAACACAUGCCAGUCGAACGGAAAGGCCCUGCUUUUGUGGGGUGCUCGAGUGGCGAACGGGUGAGUAACACGUGAGUAACCUGCCCUUGACUUUGGGAUAACUUCAGGAAACUGGGGCUAAUACCGGAUAGGAGCUCCUGCUGCAUGGUGGGGGUUGGAAAGUUUCGGCGGUUGGGGAUGGACUCGCGGCUUAUCAGCUUGUUGGUGGGGUAGUGGCUUACCAAGGCUUUGACGGGUAGCCGGCCUGAGAGGGUGACCGGCCACAUGGGGACUGAGAUACGGCCCAGACUCCUACGGGAGGCAGCAGUGGGGAAUAUUGCACAAUGGGCGGAAGCCUGAUGCAGCAACGCCGCGUGCGGGAUGACGGCCUUCGGGUUGUAAACCGCUUUCGCCUGUGACGAAGCGUGAGUGACGGUAAUGGGUAAAGAAGCACCGGCUAACUACGUG
rnacentral:rRNA from 1 species